rnacentral:rRNA from 1 species
AGUGAACGCUGGCGGUAGGCCUAACACAUGCAAGUCGAACGGCAGCACAGUAAGAGCUUGCUCUUACGGGUGGCGAGUGGCGGACGGGUGAGGAAUACAUCGGAAUCUACUUUUUCGUGGGGGAUAACGUAGGGAAACUUACGCUAAUACCGCAUACGACCUACGGGUGAAAGCAGGGGAUCUUCGGACCUUGCGCGAUUGAAUGAGCCGAUGUCGGAUUAGCUAGUUGGCGGGGUAAAGGCCCACCAAGGCGACGAUCCGUAGCUGGUCUGAGAGGGAGAUCAGCCACAUGGUAACUGAGACACGGUCCAGACUCCUACGGGAGGCCACAGUGGGGAAUAUUGGACGAUGGGCGCAAGCCUGAUCCAGCCAUACCGGGUGAGUGAAGAAGGCCUUCGGGUUGUAAAGCCCUUUUGUUGGGAAAGAAAAGCAGCAGGUUAAUACCCCGCUGUUCUGACGGUACCCAAAGAAUAAGCACCGGCUAACUUCGUG